GUUUAUAUGUUUUUUCAGAAGUUUAUCUAUCUGAAGCAGAUUUGAAGAAUCGUUGCUUGCAAAAGAUUGAAACCUUUUUAAAAGGUUGUGGAAGGAGUUUUCAAGAUUUUUCAACAAUGCCAUUACCUGUCUAUAAUGAGGAUGAGGUCGAUUAUAGCAACAGAUUAAUUCGAGAUGAAAUGCGUUACAAUAAAGGUGCUUUAACUGAUGAACAUCAAGAAUUGCUACAAAAUUUAACUGAUGAACAUAAAGCAGUUUACAAAAAGAUUAUGUCAGCAGUUAUUACAAAUAGUGGUGGAUUUUUCUUUUUAUACGGCUUUGGAGGUACAGGAAAAACUUUUAUUUGGAGGACAUUAUCAGCAGCUAUACGAUCUAAAGGAGAUAUUGUUUUGACAGUAGCUUCUAGCGGGAUUGCAUCUCUAUUGUUGCCUGGUGGUAGAACAUCACAUUCAAGAUUUGUUAUCCCUUUGAAUAUAAAUGAAGAUUCAACAUGUAAUAUAAAGCAAGGUACUCCUUUAGCAAAUUUGAUAGUCAAGGCAAAGUUGAUUAUUUGGGAUGAGGCUCCUAUGAUGCAUAAAUAUUGUUUUGAAGCUUUGGAUAAAACUUUAAGAGAUAUUAUUAGCUAUAAAGAUGCAUCUAAGGCAGAAUUACCAUUUGGAGGAAAAACAGUUGUUCUUGGAGGUGACUUUAGACAAAUUUUACCCGUUAUUCCAAAAGGUACUAGACAAGAUAUUGUUAAUGCAAUUGUAAAUUCAUCAUAUUUAUGGCCACAAUGUCAACUAUUGACUCUAACAAAGAAUGUGAGGUUACAAAGCAAUGCAAACGAUACACAUUUGGAAGAAUUGAGAGAUUUUUCUAAUUGGAUAUUGAAAGUUGGGGAUGGUAGCAUUGGAAGUUCAAUUGAUGGAAUAGACAAAGUUUUAAUACCUAAUGAUCUUCUAAUAAAUGAGUAUAUUGAUCCUAUAGCAUCUAUUGUUGAAAGUAUUUAUCCAGAUUUCAUCACUAAUUGCAAUGAUCCAGAGUACCUUCAACAAAGAGCCAUUCUUGCUCCAACUCUUGAUAUGGUUGAAUCGAUAAAUCAGUAUAUGAUUACUCUUAAUCAUAAUCCUGAGAAAUCAUAUUUAAGUUCUGAUAAAAUUUGCAGGUCUGAUCAUACUUAUUCAGCUUUGGAACAUGUACAUACCCCUGAAUUUUUGAACAAUAUUAAAUGUUCUGGCGUUCCAAAUCAUUCAAUCACUUUAAAGGUUGGGGUUCCAGUGAUGUUACUAAGAAAUAUCGAUCAGUCAGCGGGAUUAUGUAAUGGAACUAGAUUGAUUGUUACUAAACUUGGAAAUCAAGUAAUUGAAGCAAAGGUUUUAUCUGGACAGAUGGUUGGCCGGAAGGUAUUUAUUCCAAGAAUGACUUUAACACCUUCAGAUUAUAGAAUUCCUUUUAAGUUUCAAAGAAGACAGUUUCCUAUAACUGUAUCAUUUGCUAUGACAAUCAAUAAGAGUCAAGGACAGUCUUUAUCUCAUGUGGGCUUAUUUCUGAAGAAGCCAGUGUUUACGCAUGGACAUUUAUAUGUUGCUCUUUCCAAAGUGACAAAUAGAAAGGGAUUAAAAAUACUUACUUACGAUGAAGAUGGGCAAAUAAGUAAUGAAGCCACAAAUGUAGUAUAUAAAGAAGUACUCCAAGACUUAUUUGACAUACAUUGUAUUUUUUAACUUUUAUAUAUAUACUACAAUUUUUGUUGUGUAUGUUACAAUAACUUUUAUAUUAACUGUUAUAUAUGUUUUAGGUUUCAUUAAUAAUGUAAUUUAACUUAGUAAGUUAACAUUAAGUAGGUACACAUUAAUAAAAAAAGACAAAGAAAGUCCAAAUUACUUUGAAAUAUGCAAUAGUCGAUAUGUACUAACCUUAAUUAGCUAAUUAUAAUCACUGCUAUUUUCCAUCGAUACACUAGCAGAAAAAAAAUCUUCCCAUUAUCAACUUCUCCGCCAUCUACAAUACACUUAUUAAAAAGCAAAUAUGAAAAUAUAUUAGGCAAUUUUUUUCAGUUAGAAUGCAUUAAGACAGAAAUUGUAUUAUGAAACAUUGCUCAAAAUAGUUGUAUAUAUAUAAAUUAUCAUAAACUACACAAAUCUAUAUAUUAAUACUACUAUUAAACAUUAAUAAUAAAUACAACUUCAUAGUUAUCAGAUAGUUUUAAAUACGAGUACAGAUAGAUUAUAAGACUUCACACAUUUACAAUCUUUACUAUUUUUUUAACUUUACUCAUUUAUCUAAAAAGUAAAAGUCACAAGUUCCUAUAUUUUAAGGUCAUUUUAAACAAAUUAUGAUUUGGAAACCAAGAAAAUGAUAACUUUUUCUUAUAAUAUAUAAUAAACUGUGUCUUGAAAAUUCACAUUAAAAAUUUUCAAGUACAAUUUACUCCGGCUUGCUUGGAAAACUGUAACUCAGAUUAUAUAUACAAAAUCUCUGAAUCACCAAACAAGAUACCAAAAUCUUUAUCAACAUAAGCUUAUUAUAGCUUUGCAAUAACAUGCAUUUACUACUUUAUAAUUUAAAUUAAAGUUAAACUAUUAGCCGUAUCUGACCAUCCCAAAUAGAUAUGAAGGAGACAUAACCUGAUAAAUCUCAUUAAAAUUAAUCCAAAACAAGAACUACUUCAUGCUAAUAUAUUCUUCAAUUGAAGUUUUCAUUAUGAAGGAUCAAUAUAAAAAAAUGUCAAAAAUUUAACUCACCAUUUCACAGUACAUUGAAUUUUUGUCGGAACGAUACUAGAUCUGAAAACAACUCCUAUCAAAUGUUUUAUGCAAUAUAUAUUAAUCUUAACCUGCUUGAAGAAAGUCAUUUUUAUGCUAUGUUAUCAUUUGCAUGUUCAAAUGUUGAAAUUCUAAAAUUAACUUUACCAUAUAUUUGCAGAAGACAUUCAUAGUAGAAAAGACAAUAGAAGAUUUACUAAAGAGAUGAAAGAAAUAGCACUCACAACAUUGACAAAUCACUCAGAAACUUAGCGAAGAUCCACACUCGGAAGAGGUACCUCACCUUUCAAAUCUGGAAAAUUUUGUUCAUAUUUUGGUCUCUUUCCAGAGAGAUCCAUUUUGUUUGUUUUUUACGUUUUUCCCUUUUUACUUUCCAAUUACUUUUGGAUUUUGGUGGGUUGUCCAAAAGUCUAUUUGAUUUUACUUUUUUCCAAUUCACUUAGAUUGACCAUAUUUUAAUAAAACUAAUAAAUACAUAUACA
rnacentral:lncRNA from 1 species